GAAGCUGACCAGACAGUCGCCGCUUCGUCGUCGUCCUCUUCGGGGGAGACGGGCGGAGGGGAGGAAAGUCCGGGCUCCAUAGGGCAGGGUGCCAGGUAACGCCUGGGGGGGAAACCCACGACCAGUGCAACAGAGAGCAAACCGCCGAUGGCCCGCGCAAGCGGGAUCAGGUAAGGGUGAAAGGGUGCGGUAAGAGCGCACCGCG
rnacentral:RNase_P_RNA from 1 species